GUGGAAGGCUGGGGGGGGGUUCGCCCCGGUUCCCGCACCGGGGGGACUUGCUUUCUCCGCGCCUUGAGAAACGAGUUAAUCCCUGGGCAGCCGUACGGCGGAGGGGGUGACAGGCGGAACGUCCUCGGCAGCCGCGGGGGGAAAAGGACCAAAAGCAUCGCUUGGGCUGGAAGGACGCCUGCCGCUUGCUCUGCCUUCGCCUUCGGGUUUCAGCGCCCCCGUCCAUUAUAAGAAAAUCGGAGAAUGUGGCGUUCGGGUGGAGUUCCCAGCAGCCCCCCCGGUGCCGCCUGGUGCGCUGCCCCUGCCCACGGGCUUACCGGAGCUUCUCGGCGGUGGCCGCCCGCCGGCACCGGCCUGCCGAGCGGCAGCGGCGCAGUUUGUGAGCAGUGCUCGGUGCUGGGGGACGAACAGCUCGACUUAGCAAGCUCGUCAUGCUCCUUCCCUUUCUCUUGUUGUACAUUUCAGCAUUUCUUCUCCCUAUCCCUGCCUGUUUUGCCCAGAAGCUUGCGGAGCUCCGCACGCUCCCUCGCCCUCCCCGGGCUGGGCGGCGGCCGCCUAUGCCCUGCCCCGGCCGGGCACAGAAGCGCCGCUCGGAGCCGCAGGCAGCUGAACCAGGGAGGAAAAUUCGGUCGGACGAGGACUGAAAAACAUCAUUUUCCAUCAGGCGCAGACCCCCUCCCCGUGCCUCCGUCUUUGCUCAGAUUGCUUGUUGAACAAGCUCAGAAAAACGCAGCAGACCUCAGCUUUAUCCCUCGAUCUAUAUAAAUGCAACGUCGCAUAAUUGUUCACAAAACAGCAUAAGAACAAUAACAAUCGAAGAGAAUGCAAUGGAGGAGUUAGUCUGGAUUAACAAACUACUUCCCGGGAUUUGUAUCAACUUCUGGAGACUCCCGAGUCCAGAUGAUGGGGACGGAAACAACUCCGCAUCACUCAGAACAGGUCGGACCCGGUAUUUCAAGGGGAGAGGCCCGUUCUGCAAGGCAAAGGCAAAACCCUGAUACAUAUACCUAUGCAUUUUUCUCAGCUACAAACCUGCCCCGAAGAUGUUUGUGUGUGUUACAUUUCCCCUGGAGUAAAGGAAAGUUAUUUACCUCUUC